GACGAACCGUGCAAACGUUAUUCGGAAUCACUGGGCAUAAAGGGCGCGUAGGCGGCUCCAAAAGUCAGGGGUGAAAUCCGGCAGCUUAACGUGUCGCAGUGCCUUUUGAUACUGUGGAGCUAGAGGGAGGUGAGGGGUCUGUGGAACUUCCGGUGGAGCGGUGAAAUGCGUUGAUAUCGGAAGGAACGCCGGUGGCGAAAGCGACGGACUGGAUCGUCUUCGACGCUGAGGCGCGAAAGCCAGGGGAGCAAACGGG
rnacentral:rRNA from 1 species